UAAUAAGUGUUUUAUGGCACUUUUUAAAUCCAUAUCCACCUUGUGUGCCAAUGUCAGUCGCAUCUUCUUCAUGGAGAUCGACCAAACAUCAAACCUUUAUCUUUUAACUCUUUGUCUGAAAAAUAUUAUGAAUAAACAAUUCAAAUA
rnacentral:misc_RNA from 1 species